rnacentral:rRNA from 1 species
UACAGAGGGUGCAAGCGUUAAUCGGAAUUACUGGGCGUAAAGCGUGCGUAGACGGUUAUUUAAGUCAGGGGUGAAAGCCCCGGGCUCAACCUGGGAAUUGCAUUUGAGACUGAAUAGCUAGGGUGCGGUAGAGGGAAGCGGAAUUUCCGGUGUAGCGGUGAAAUGCGUAGAUAUCGGAAGGAACACCAGUGGCGAAAGCGGCUUCCUGGUCCAGCACCGACGUUCAGGCACGAAAGCGUGGGGAGCAAACAGG